GGUGAGACGGAACACUUCCUGCUGGUGCUGCUCCUUGAGAUUCUCCAGCACCAGCUCGGCCUCGAUACUGAGCCCAGGCGACACCGCCUCUGGGGAGCGCACGCCUGCGGCAUGGAUGCAGAACAAACGCAGCGUUUUCUUCGGAUCCUGGAGCGGAGGGAUCCCGUGCUGCCUAUGCUGCUCGCCGACAUGCUCCGAGCAUCUAGAGUACAGAGAAGCGAUCCACGAGGCAAAGUCAACCCUGAGGCCUCUGUUAAUCUACUGCUGGAUGGAUGGGAGUCUCUACAUGCCAUGCAGGCGAGCAGCGUGACCCGGGGCAGCCCGUCCCCAGAGGAGAGGAUCUCCGCGUCGAUGGCAGCGGUGAGGUCAGCACGGCACACGCGCUCACUGCCGCUCAACUGCAGCGCCUGUGACAGCGUGACAGUAGAAGCGUCUCUCUUGAAAAAAGUUCCGUGACAUUCCACGACACGAUGUUGCACUUAAUGACAUUGUUUUACACGAAGCAUGUUACAGGACGUCUUUGUCUCCUCAGUGCUGAUGGUCGAGGGAAGGCCCAACACCAUGCUCAGAUAUUCCUCAUCAACGAUAUUAGUCACAGCUGGAAGUCGAACUCUGAUCUCCAGGUGCAUAGCGCAAUACUCAUAUCCACCGCACCCACCACACGCACCACACGCACCACACGCAUGCGUGCAAGACGGCAGGUGUGCUUUCUCUUUGCAGCUCCUUCUGUGUGGAAUGCACUACCCACUAUACAUACGUCAGAGAUCAGCUCCCUCUCUAUUUUCAAAUCAUACUUAGAAACUGUCUUGGUAGCCAUUUGAUUCGUUACUCCGCAGUGUUUCUCGUACCUUUUUUUCAAUGCCAACGUGUUUUGGGAUGCUCAGCGUACUGAGAGUAAAUUUGCGCGAAUGACAUCAUGGAAAAUAAAGUGUAAAAAAAUAUAUUCUGCCAUCUCAGCCGGCUCUGCGGCCGCGCGUCUCGCCUCGAGGAUCGUGUGCGGCUCCGCCACGCCGUCGGCGAGCCACGAGUCCAGGAGGCGCUCGGUGGGAACGCUGCCCGUGCCGUCGUCCAGAUCCGAGAAGAGCAGCUCGUGGCCACUGGGUGCCAGCAGGGACGGCGUGGCCGUGCGUCGCCCGCCCUCCUCCUGGACAAACGCACACGCAGCCACAGUCGUGCACACCGUCGUUAUCGUCAACAUCGUAAUCAUCGAUGAUCAACCCCGCUGCGCUUGAGAACCCCGGGCGGCUACCUGGAUUUCAAUCCAGUGUUUCAGAAAUCUGAGCCACCUUGGCAACCUAUAAACGGUACUCAUUUUAUGGACUAUUAAGCCCAGGAUCGAUACCCCACUGGGAUUUGAACUGAAUUCGCAGCCUUCCGAAUGAGUUACUCUGCCACCACACACACACACAAUGACAAACGGUGGUACACGCGGCAAGGAAACGCACCGGCUGAUCAAAACGCUAAAGAACACGCCGCGUGCAUUCCCGCCGAGUUAACGGCGAUUCCCACUCACGCGGCGCUGACCCGCAUGGUGGCGCGCGUGCGUGCUUCUCCCGUCCACACCUGGCUGUAGUGGAAGCGCUUGAGCUGUCGGAGGACGCCGGGAGGAGGGGGCGACACACUCGGCGUGUAACGUCCCAGGGACAGGUUCUGCGAGGACAGACUGGUGCGCUCAUCAUCCAAAUCUUCCUCCUCCUCUUCCCUCUGCUCCUCUGGCUCAGCCUCCCCCUCCUCGUCCACUCCGCUCUGCUGCAGGAGCUGCAGCAGCUCCGAGCAGCUCACCGUCCCGUCGUCCGCUGGCUCCAGCUGGGCCUGCACCGCCUGCCACUGAAGCGCAGGGGGCAACACCGACGACAAAAAGAGUGCAAGAGGUGGCAGGUGGAGCUGCGUGCACACGGCGGCGGCCUCCUGCGGGUCGAGCCGCGCUCCGGGCUCCAGGCCCAGGUCGGCGAGCAGCCGCUCCUCCAUGGAGCCCAGCGCGUCCGGCGGGUCCGCAUCGAGCACGCCGCUGCUGCUCAGGAAAGACGACGAGUGCCACGGGUUCUGGCCUGUGCGGCGGCACGUCGGCGGGCGGUUAGCGAAGGGGGACAGUCGAGGUGGGGCUGCGCGGGCUGGGUUGGAGUCGUUGUUGGCGAUUUAACACUUUCCCGUUCCGAUGACGUAUGUAGGGGCACGUGAUCAGUUUUUUUUUAAUUCCGAUUCCGUUCCGAUGACGUAUGUGGACGGAACCGGAAGGAAAAUAAAAUAACUUUGUCAGUACCGAGGCUUCCCCACAAGGCCAUGCGGCUUGGGCAUGUCGCACAGUUUGGCGCCUGCUAUAAUAGAGUGCGUUCGUGUCGCUAAAGUUCUCUGCGGUGAGUGCAAUGUCCUUAAAAACAAUGGGGCUAUGCGUCUCUAAAUAAAAUUAACAGUUAACCGCUUGCAACCACCCGGAAGCUUGCAGUCAUCUCUGAACGAGAAAGGGUUAAGUCGAGGGAUUGGACAGACAGGGUAUGCCGAUAGUAAAGGUGCAGCCCUACAAUCGCUUGUUCUCCCCAUUGCCGGCAGAAGGACCACAGAGUAUUUGGCCUACCCUUCGACACUGGCCAGACGUCUUGGAAAGAAGUGGGAGUACCCCACCACACGCAACUGAGGUGUACCCACUGAUGCUGACAGAGGUACAAAAGGGUGGUGGAUUUCAGAAACCUGCCCGUUGUUUGAAAUACCAUGCCAGGAGAUGGAAUCCAACGUACGACCUCUGGAUUUUUUUUAAAGGUCACUGUGCAAACCAUUACACCGCGGCCACUCCCCUCAAUCAAAAUGUUGUAUAAAAACGUAUAUAAGUUUAAGUCCGUUCAAGGGUGGGAUGGUAAUUAACCCUGAGCUGAUGUGAUACAUUCCACAUUUCUGUGGAAGGGGCCAGUCUCCCUAUGAGAAGAGGGUCACUGAAUGCGAGCGGCAAAGUGCUAGUUAUUGUGUGAACUGCAGAGGUUUCAUUGAUUUGAACCCUGAAUGGGAUGUGAACUUAUGUGGAGAGCUCUCGAGACAGAGCACCACCUGGCUGUAUUCAAACCUGCACACGUGCACUUCUUUAACAUCUUCUAACUUCAGUUAAUUUAUUCUAGGGAAUGUCACCACCCUAUCGUGUGCUACUAUUUAUUAUAAACGUACAUUAUAUCAGAUGGAGAAUCAGAUUUGUUUAAUCCUGACAUUCUUUAAGGAAUGGUUUGCAUUUUAAAAUAAACAAUCGAAAAAUCAA